rnacentral:tRNA from 1 species
GCCUGGGUAGCUCAGUUGGCAGAGCAUCAGACUCUUAAUCUGAGAGUCUAGGGUUCCAGUUCCUAUUCAGGUG